CUACGGGAUGCACCAGUAAGGAAUAUUGCACAAUGGGGGAAACCCUGAUGCAGCAACGCCGCGUGGACGAAGAAGGCCUUCGGGUCGUAAAGUCCUUUUCUGAGGGAAGAGGAGGGACGGUACCUCAGGAAUAAGUCUCGGCUAACUACGUGCCAGCAGCCGCGGUAAAACGUAGGAGGCGAGCGUUAUCCGGAUUCACUGGGCGUAAAGGGCAAGUAGGCGGUUGUUUAAGUUAGGUGUGACAUCUCUCGGCUUAACUGGGAGGGAGCGCUUAAAACUAGGCAACUAGAGGGCGGAAGAAGGGGGUAGAACUCCAAAUGUAGCGGUGGAAUGCUCAGAUAUUUGGAAGAAUACCAGUGGCGAAGGCGACCCCCCGGUCCGUGCCUGACGCUGAGAGGCGAAAGCUAGGGUAGCGAACGGGAUUAGAUACCCUCGUAGUC
rnacentral:rRNA from 1 species